AUUGAACGCUGGCGGCAGGCCUAACACAUGCAAGUCGAGCGGAUGAAGGGAGCUUGCUCCUGGAUUCAGCGGCGGACGGGUGAGUAAUGCCUAGGAAUCUGCCUGGUAGUGGGGGAUAACGUCCGGAAACGGGCGCUAAUACCGCAUACGUCCUGAGGGAGAAAGUGGGGGAUCUUCGGACCUCACGCUAUCAGACGAGCCUAGGUCGGAUUAGCUAGUUGGUGGGGUAAAGGCCUACCAAGGCGACGAUCCGUAACUGGUCUGAGAGGAUGAUCAGUCACACUGGAACUGAGACACGGUCCAGACUCCUACGGGAGGCAGCAGUGGGGAAUAUUGGACAAAGGGCGAAAGCCUGAUCCAGCCAUGCCGCGUGUGUGAAGAAGGUCUUCGGAUUGUAAAGCACUUUAAGUUGGGAGGAAGGGCAGUAAGUUAAUACCUUGCUGUUUUGACGUUACCAACAGAAUAAGCACCGGCUAACUUCGUG
rnacentral:rRNA from 1 species